UGGCGUCCUGCGCAGCUUCCUGGAGCCACGUCUCCUCAGGACCUGCCAGGGCUUCAGGACAACAGGGGAUUAUGUCCACGCUGAUAGGAACCCAGUCUCCUCAGGACCCAACAGGAGGUGCUGCACUGAAGGGAAGGUCGUGCACAGGAUCCAAGACUUGCUGGCUACGGGUACACUCAUCCCACAGUGCCUCUUAAUAACAAGUGGACUCCUACAAGGGCGAUGAGCAUCACACCUCUGGCUGACCUCGGUCUGGGUGCACGUGUCUCACUGGGGGGUUUGGCUCCUGUGGGAACUUGGCUCCUUGCGGGGCUGGUGG